rnacentral:rRNA from 1 species
GACGUAGGAUGCAAGCGUUGUCCGGAUUUAUUGGGCGUAAAGAGUUCGUAGGUGGUUUGUUAAGUCUGAUGUUAAAGACUGGGGCUCAACCUCGGGACUGCAUUGGGAUACUGGCAGACUUGAGUGCGGUAGAGGCAAGUGGAAUUCCAGGUGUAGCGGUGAAAUGCGUAGAUAUCUGGAAGAACACCGGUGGCGGAAGGCGGCAUCCUGGACCGGCAUUGACGCUGAGGCGCGAAAGCUAGGGGAGGCAAACGGG